GCCGGAGUGGCGGAAUUGGCAGACGCGACGGAUUCAAAAUCCGUUGCCCGCAAGGGCGUGUGGGUUCGAGUCCCACCUUCGGUA
rnacentral:tRNA from 1 species